CUAUCUCUCGCUUCUCCAAUCAACCAAAACUCUCCUCGUCGACGAUUCUUCAGCAAUGGUGGAUACACGCUCGGCCGGAGCAGCGAAGGAUGACGGAAAAGCGAAUGCAACUAUUCCACACGCGUCAGAUGAAAAGGCGACUGGAAACGAUGAGCCAAAACAAGGCCGUAUGUAAUUUAAAAGUCUAGAUUUGAAAAUUACGGAUGUACAGGUACUGUGGUAGUGAAUGUUGAUGCAGCUAAAUUACAAGAACGUGAAGGUCGACAUUGAAAAAAUGAUAGCAAACUACAUAUCUUAAGCAAUUGUUAUGUCAUAAAUCAAAAGACUGAAACUUUGUUUCAUUUUUUAUAGUUUACCACUGUUUUAAAUUAAGGAUGUUUGAACAGUUCAGCUUUACAUAUUUGGAUGGUGUUUUAGAA